UCAAGCUACAAAGAGCACAAGGGGAAUGCCUUGGCACCGAGAGCCGAAGAAGGACGUGACUAACUGCGAUAAGCUGCGGGGAGCCGUAAGUAGGCUUUGAUCCGCAGAUUUCCGAAUGGAGCAAUCCGGCAAGAGGAAAGUCUUGUCAUCAUAUACUGAAUACAUAGGUAUAUGAGGGGAACCGCCUGAACUGAAACAUCUAAGUAGGGCGAGGAAGAGAAAUCAACUGAGAUUCCGUAAGUAGUGGCGAGCGAACGCGGAAGAGGCCAAACCGAGAGUAGUAAUACUUUCGGGGUUCGGACAGAAAACGGUAUUGUAAAGGUUUAGUGGAAUGGAAUGGGAAGUCCAACCGAAGAAGGUGAGAGUCCUGUACACGAAAAGCCUGAACAGCCAUCUGUAUCCAGAGUACCGCCGGACACGUGAAACCCGGUGGGAAUAUGGGGGGACCAUCCUCCAAGCCUAAAUACUACUCGGUGACCGAUAGUGAAGAAGUACUGUGAAGGAAAGGUGAAAAGUACCCCUGACGGGGAGUGAAAAAGAACCUGAAACCUUGUGUUUACAAGCACCGAAAGCUCAUCAAAGAGCGAUCGGGUACCUUUUGUAGAAUGGUCCGGCGAGUGAAUGUAACCGGCGAGGUUAAGCACUUAAGGUGUGAAGCCGCAGCGAGAGCAAGUCUGAAUAGGGCGUAUGAAGUCGGUUGUAUUCGACCCGAAACCGGGUGACCUACCCAUGGUCAGGUUGAAGUAAAGGUAAAACUUUAUGGAGGACCGAACCGACUCCCGUUGAAAUGGUAGCGGAUGAACUGUGGGUAGCGGAGAAAUUCCAAUCGAACCCGGAGAUAGCUGGUUCUCUCCGAAAUAGCUUUAGGGCUAGCCUUGAAAUAGAUUACCGGAGGUAAAGCACUGAAUUGGCUAGGGGCCGAGAGGUUACUGAACCUUAUCAAACUAAGAAUGCCGGAUAAUCGUUUUUCAGGAGUCAGACAGUGGGAGAUAAGUUUCAUUGUCAAAAGGGAAACAGCCCAGACCCACAGCUAAGGUCCCCAAGUAUAGUUAAGUGGAAAAGGAUGUGGAAUUGCACAGACAACCAGGAUGUUGGCUUAGAAGCAGCCACUCAUUAAAAGAGUGCGUAAUAGCUCACUGGUCGAGUGACUCUGCGCCGAAAAUUUAACGGGGCUAAACUAUACACCGAAGCUUGGGAUACAUCUAAUGUAUGGUAGGAGAGCGUUCUGUAUGGGGAGAAGUCGUAGCGAAAGCGGCGGUGGACUAUACAGAAGUGAGAAUGCCGGAAUAAGUAGCGAGAAUUAAGUGAGAAUCUUAAUGGCCGAAAGUCUAAGGUUUUUGGAGGAAGGUUCGUCCGCUCCAAGUAAGUCGGGAGCUAAGGUCAGGCCGAAAGGCGUAGCCGAUGCACAUACGGUUGAUAUUCCGUAACCAUCUGUAAUUUAAGCAAAGGGACACUUCAAAAGGGUGUGACCCGGGCGUUGGUUGACCCGGGCGUAAGGGACCGAAAUUAGAGUAGGGAAGCACACUUAGCUGAAGGCGAGAAAAGCUUUGCGUAUAGAAACAGAUGCCCGUACCGCAAACCGACACAGGUGGACAGGAAGAGAAUUCUAAGGCCAGCGGGAGAAGGGUAGUUAAGGAACUCGGCAAAUUGACUCCGUAACUUCGGAAUAAGGAGUGCUCGAAAGAGCCGCAGAGAAUAGGCCCAGGCGACUGUUUAGCAAAAACACAGGUCUCUGCCAAAUCGAAAGAUGAAGUAUAGGGGCUGACACCUGCCCGGUGCCGGAAGGUUAAGAGGAGGAGUGAGAGCUCCGAAUUGAAGCCCCGGUAAACGGCGGCCGUAACUAUAACGGUCCUAAGGUAGCGAAAUUCCUUGUCGGGU
rnacentral:rRNA from 1 species